AACUUAAGUGAAUUAGCGGCGAACGGGUGAGUAACACGUGGGUGAUCUGCCCUGCACUUCGGGAUAAGCUUGGGAAACUGGGUCUAAUACCGGAUAGGACCAUCGUUUAGUGUCGGUGGUGGAAAGUUUUUUCGGUGUGGGAUGAGCUCGCGGCCUAUCAGCUUGUUGGUGGGGUAAUGGCCUACCAAGGCGUCGACGGGUAGCCGGCCUGAGAGGGUGUACGGCCACAUUGGGACUGAGAUACGGCCCAG
rnacentral:rRNA from 1 species